GAUGAACGCUGGCGGCGUGCCUAAUACAUGCAAGUCGAGCGAACGGACGAGAAGCUUGCUUCUCUGAUGUUAGCGGCGGACGGGUGAGUAACACGUGGAUAACCUACCUAUAAGACUGGGAUAACUUCGGGAAACCGGAGCUAAUACCGGAUAAUAUUUUGAACCGCAUGGUUCAAAAGUGAAAGACGGUCUUGCUGUCACUUAUAGAUGGAUCCGCGCUGCAUUAGCUAGUUGGUAAGGUAACGGCUUACCAAGGCAACGAUGCAUAGCCGACCUGAGAGGGUGAUCGGCCACACUGGAACUGAGACACGGUCCAGACUCCUACGGGAGGCAGCAGUAGGGAAUCUUCCGCAAUGGGCGAAAGCCUGACGGAGCAACGCCGCGUGAGUGAUGAAGGUCUUCGGAUCGUAAAACUCUGUUAUUAGGGAAGAACAUAUGUGUAAGUAACUGUGCACAUCUUGACGGUACCUAAUCAGAAAGCCACGGCUAACUACGUGCCAGCAGCCGCGGUAAUACGUAGGUGGCAAGCGUUAUCCGGAAUUAUUGGGCGUAAAGCGCGCGUAGGCGGUUUUUUAAGUCUGAUGUGAAAGCCCACGGCUCAACCGUGGAGGGUCAUUGGAAACUGGAAAACUUGAGUGCAGAAGAGGAAAGUGGAAUUCCAUGUGUAGCGGUGAAAUGCGCAGAGAUAUGGAGGAACACCAGUGGCGAAGGCGACUUUCUGGUCUGUAACUGACGCUGAUGUGCGAAAGCGUGGGGAUCAAACAGGAUUAGAUACCCUGGUAGUCCACGCCGUAAACGAUGAGUGCUAAGUGUUAGGGGGUUUCCGCCCCUUAGUGCUGCAGCUAACGCAUUAAGCACUCCGCCUGGGGAGUACGACCGCAAGGUUGAAACUCAAAGGAAUUGACGGGGACCCGCACAAGCGGUGGAGCAUGUGGUUUAAUUCGAAGCAACGCGAAGAACCUUACCAAAUCUUGACAUCCUUUGACAACUCUAGAGAUAGAGCUUUCCCCUUCGGGGGACAAAGUGACAGGUGGUGCAUGGUUGUCGUCAGCUCGUGUCGUGAGAUGUUGGGUUAAGUCCCGCAACGAGCGCAACCCUUAAGCUUAGUUGCCAUCAUUAAGUUGGGCACUCUAAGUUGACUGCCGGUGACAAACCGGAGGAAGGUGGGGAUGACGUCAAACCAUCAUGCCCCUUAUGAUUUGGGCUACACACGUGCUACAAUGGACAAUACAAAGGGCAGCGAAACCGCGAGGUCAAGCAAAUCCCAUAAAGUUGUUCUCAGUUCGGAUUGUAGUCUGCAACUCGACUACAUGAAGCUGGAAUCGCUAGUAAUCGUAGAUCAGCAUGCUACGGUGAAUACGUUCCCGGGUCU
rnacentral:rRNA from 1 species